GUUUGAUCAUGGCUCAGAUUGAACGCUGGCGGCAGGCCUAACACAUGCAAGUCGAGCGGCAGCACAGAGGAACUUGUUCCUUGGGUGGCGAGCGGCGGACGGGUGAGUAAUGCCUGGGAAAUUGCCCGGUAGAGGGGGAUAACCAUUGGAAACGAUGGCUAAUACCGCAUAACCUCGCAAGAGCAAAGCAGGGGACCUUCGGGCCUUGCGCUACCGGAUAUGCCCAGGUGGGAUUAGCUAGUUGGUGAGGUAAGGGCUCACCAAGGCGACGAUCCCUAGCUGGUCUGAGAGGAUGAUCAGCCACACUGGAACUGAGACACGGUCCAGACUCCUACGGGAGGCAGCAGUGGGGAAUAUUGCACAAUGGGCGCAAGCCUGAUGCAGCCAUGCCGCGUGUAUGAAGAAGGCCUUCGGGUUGUAAAGUACUUUCA
rnacentral:rRNA from 1 species